rnacentral:lncRNA from 1 species
CUCUGCAUUAUGCUCUCUAAAAGUGGCUGACUGUGCAGGAUGCUAGCGACAGUGGUGACUAAAAUCCAAGGUUCCAUUCCCAGAACAAGUUGCAGGCCAGCUGCAAACGAUCAUAUAGCCACAUUAAGAAGUUAGACAGUUUCAAACUGGUCAGAGUUCUGAAGGAAAGGACGAUGGUUCUGCUCGCGACUAAUUCAGAAGAGCCUGGUGUUUCCUGAGGAAAGUCUGAGAUUGGAAGGCUGGGGAAAAGUUAACAGUCACCUUGGAGUUUUGUGUUCCAGCUGCUGCAUCUCAGUGCGGAUGGCCUGCCUUCCACUUCAUUUCAGAACUCACUUCCAUGGCCCCACACUAGGCUGUUAAGACAGCUUCCUGGUCCAGGCCUGAACCCUUAAACUCCAACAUCUUACCC